rnacentral:rRNA from 1 species
AUGGCCCGUGUUGUUGUUCCGUUGAAUUUAAUUGCGUUCCUUGAGAAAGCAAAGUUGAAAGAUGAUGGUAGCAAUUACACGGACUGGGUCCGUAACUUGAGGAUUAUCCUCAUUGCUGCACAGAAGAAUUACGUCCUAGAAGCACCGCUGGGUGCCAGGCCUGCUGCUGGAGCAACACCAGAUGUUAUGAAUGUCUGGCAGAGCAAAGCUGAUGACUACUCGAUAGUUCAGUGUGCCAUGCUUUGCGGCUUAGAAUCGGGACUUCAACGACGUUUUGAACGUCAUGGAGCAUAUGAGAUGUUCCAGGAGUUGAAGUUAAUAUUUCAAGCAAAUGCCCGGAUUGAGAGAUAUAAAAUCUCCAAUAAGUUCUAUAGCUGCAAGAUGGAGGAGAACAGUUUUUUCAGUGAGCAUAUACUCAAAAUGUCUGGGUAUAAUAAUCACUUGAUUCAAUUGGGAGUUAAUCUUCCAGAUGAUUGCGUCAUUGACAGAAUUCUCCAAUCACUACCACCUAGCUACAAGAGCUUCAUGAUGAACUAUAAUAUGCAAGGGAUGAAUAAGACAAUUCCCGAGCUCUUCGCAAUGCUGAAAGCUGCGGAGGUAGAAAUCAAAAAGGAGCAUCAAGUGUUGAUGGUCAACAAGACCACUAGUUUCAAGAAAAAGGGUAAAGGGAAGAAGAAGGGGAACUUCAAAGGGAACAACAAGCAAGUUGCUGCUCAGGAGAAGAAACCCAAAUCUGGACCUAAGCCUGAAACUGAGUGCUUCUAUUGCAAGCAGACUGGUCACUGGAAGCGGAACUGCCCCAAGUAUUUGGCGGAUAAGAAGGAUGGCAAGGUGAACAAAGGUAUAUGUGAUAUACAUGUUAUUGAUGUGUACCUUACUAAUGCUCGCAGUAGCACCUGGGUAUUUGAUACUGGUUCUGUUGCUAAUAUUUGCAACUUGAAACAGGGACUACGGAUUAAGCGAAGAUUGGCUAAGGACGAGGUGACGAUGCGCGUGGGAAAUGGUUCCAAAGUCGAUGUGAUCGCGGUCGACACGGUACCUCUACAUCUACCUUCGGGAUUAGUAUUAGACCUAAAUAAUUGUUAUUUGGUGCCAGCGUUGAGCAUGAACAUUAUAUCUGGAUCUUGUUUGAUGCGAGACGGUUAUUCAUUUAAAUCAGAGAAUAAUGGUUGU